GUCGACGCCCCGGUACACGUGCAGGCAGCGGGGGUGGCUCUGGGCACCCCGCAGGUCGCUCAGGGCCUCGGUCAGCAGUUUCCCAGCCUCUGCCUGUUGUGAAUGCUGAAGCUGAAAGGAGAAUGUUCACCUCCUCCUGCCCUCCUGCCUGCACUCGGACCUGUCCCUCGCCAGUGUCUCAGCAGGGCCACAAGAUCUGGUGUCACUCCCUUGUUGGUCA